AACUUCCUAAACUGUACUAUGUUCCCAACUGCAUGAGCUGUGCAAAAUCAUGUCACAACCAUGUCCAAGAAGGGGAUGUACUGGUCUGUGCAAGGUUAGACUUAGCAUGAGCAAAACUGGCUGUUGCUGGGGUGAUGAGCACAUUAACUUCAGUUUUGAUCUUCUCAACUGGAAAAUAAUCUGGAAGCAGAGGCUAGUGGGAUCAGAAAGGGGAGCAGUGGAUCAUCAGGGGAAGUGAGAAUUUGCAUCUCCCUGUUCUUAUCAUAAACCUUUUUCUUCUGUUGCAAGUCUGGACCAGAAUCUUCAACCCCAAGUAUUUAAGCUUAUGGCUCUGACACUUCUGCCAGAUGAGAGAUACUGGACCUGUUUCCCCAGCCAACUCUCUUUUCCCUUUUUAUCCUAGAGUGGAAUAGUUCAGUGGUUUCCUGACCCUACUUACUGGGGUUCUUGUGGAUCUGAAUCUCUCUGGCCUAGCUAUAUCCCUUUCUGCUGCCUUUGUCUGCAUUUAGAGCACAAGCUUGUAGGAGAGCGGAGAUGGUUUCUCGCCUCACAAAUACCUUUUGCUGUCAGGAUUGGGAGGAACUGGGAAACACUCUUACCUUUCAACGGUCCAGGUAUCUCCUUAAAAUUCAGUUUAGAAGGAUUAUGAAGAUUCACUUUCAGGGCCUGUAUUCAUACCAAAGAUCCACAGUGAUGAACCUUUUUGCCUUCUGAUCUGAAACAGGUUUUUGUCCUCACAGAGUUCACUUGGUUUGACUUGGAUGUCUUGCCUUGACAACAUACUGCCCAAGGCAAACUCCCUACCUAACUGUCCUCAAGAGUGAGACAGACCUGGUGUGUACCUAGUACUUGGUGCCAGAAGCAAGAAUCCCUUGGGGUUUCCCUCCCCACACAUCACAAAGUUAGAAGAGGAGUUUAAAAACAGUGUAGAAUGAUUAAGCUGUACAGUAAGCCCAAGGGAGUUGAAAAGAAUCCAGUAAUUUAUUUAGCAUGGAGUUUGGGGGUUGGGGUUUUUUCAUUGGUUUUCUUUUUCUGGCAGACUACUGUUAAUGCAAGCAAAAGGAGUGUAUCUUUAGUGUGGAAAAGGUUGCCACAAUCAGCUUGCUAGGAAAGAAGAUGAGCUGUAAACUUCUGGUGCUAGUUCAUCUCAAGAAUGCAGAUGUAUGUCAGAUACAACUCCUCCAGGAGCAAUUUAAAGGUCAAAGGCAUGCUGGCUUCUUAAAAAAGCAUUGAGACUGAAGAUCUUUGAUCUUGACAAUGUGGGAUCAAACCAUUGCAUUAAUCUGAACUUUGUAGUUCCUAUCUCCUCAAUAUACUCCCAAUAUCCCCUUGUUGCUGUUUGCGUCUCAACACUCUCCUUUUGUGGAUCAAAGGAAGAAUGAAUUAGUUUGAAUAUUACUUGUUCUAGAAAAUGUAUGUGUUUAAAAGAGUCCACGUUGGAGAAAUGUUAUCCUUGGAUAAUUGCAAAAUAAGAUUAAAGCUGAGAUCAUUUGUUCAUUAGAGGACUCUGGAGGAAUUCCAGGGGAAUUUUCAUGUUGGAAAAUCACAACUUGCUACUCUUCAGCUUAAUAAUCAGGCAUUCAUGGUUGCUUGGAAAAACAGUUUGCUUUAUUGUUUAGUAAGACUAAGAAUUACUGUUGCUAUCUAACCUCAGGUCUGGCACUGGCUUGUUUGCAGCAGAGGGUAAGUCACAUCACUUCUGUUCAUUUCCCAUGAUUGCUGCUUCUGAAGGAGUUCAAAAACUUAUAAACUCCAGUGUGCAAAGACAAUAAAAACAUUGCUUCUAGUACCGCAAUCAGCCUGGAACUUCUGUUGAGAAAGGCCUCCUGUUGUUCUGUUUCUCAGAGGUGAAAACUGCUCGGGAUGCCUGCUGGGAUGUUAGGCUGCAGGGUCAGGGAGGCAAUUCCCUGCUCAAUGUGUUCUAUUAUAAGCUUACUACUUUUACAUGUCAAUUGUAAUGUUUUUUUCUGUAUUCUGAAGUUAGCUAUCAUGAGCGGAGCUGAUUGAAAACUGAGUUUUCUGUAUUGGAAUUCAAGAAACACCAGUUCCCGAAACAGGAGUGAACUUUAUCACAGAAUGAAAAAUUAUGUUCUCAAUUUCCUGGGAAGGCAGAAGGCUGAGGAGAAAGAAACAAAGCAGCAGUUGCUCAUGGAAGCAGCUCUAGAUCAUGUUGGAUCAUGUCCUUUGGGCUCCCACGGACCAGCAGGGAGGCUGAUGGCUGCAGAAACGCUUCUGUCCUCCUGCAAUGGAGUCUCCUGGGUUGAGACGGGGAUCAACCACACUCCCAUCCAGCAGGGCCUCAGGCAGGGCAGUGGAACAGUGAACUACACUCCCAACUGUAUUUAUAAAGUCGAAUUAGAAGUGGACUGAUUUAAGUCUGCGCUGCAAAUGCAAAGGAUUUCUUUACAUUUAUUUCCUUCUGCAUUUACAUUUUUUUUUUGCAAGGAGCUCUCUAUAAAUGCAUUACUGAUGAAUAUUGAAAAUAAUCUCGGGCACAAGUAUCUUCUUGCAGUGGCAGUGCAUCAGAGGUUUGGCUGGUGGUUAUUCUUCAAAGAGCUGGGAGGCGUAACAUGUAAAUUUAAAUAUAAAUGUAUUUAGGAAAAUCCAAUACUAAAAUGAUCUGGAUCUUAUAAUUAUUUUAAUUAAAGUAGAAGGAAAAGUGUUUUUAAA